AUUGAACGCUGGCGGCAUGCCUUACACAUGCAAGUCGAACGGCAGCGCGGACUUCGGUCUGGCGGCGAGUGGCGAACGGGUGAGUAAUACAUCGGAACGUACCCUGUUGUGGGGGAUAACUAGUCGAAAGAUUAGCUAAUACCGCAUACGACCUGAGGGUGAAAGUGGGGGACCGGAAACGGCCUCAUGCAGCAGGAGCGGCCGAUGUCUGAUUAGCUAGUUGGUGGGUUAAAGGCCCACCAAGGCGACGAUCAGUAGCUGGUCUGAGAGGACGAUCAGCCACACUGGGACUGAGACACGGCCCAGACUCCUACGGGAGGCAGCAGUGGGGAAUUUUGGACAAUGGGGGCAACCCUGAUCCAGCAAUGCCGCGUGUGUGAAGAAGGCCUUCGGGUUGUAAAGCACUUUUGUCCGGAAAGAAAUCGCGCUGGUUAAUACCUGGCGUGGAUGACGGUACCGGAAGAAUAAGCACCGGCUAACUACGUG
rnacentral:rRNA from 1 species